UAAUACAUGCAAGUCGAGGGGCAGCAGCAGUGUAGCAAUACAUGGGCGGCGACCGGCAAACGGGUGCGGAACACGUACACAACCUUCCUUUAAAUGGGGAAUAGCCCAGGGAAACUUGGAUUAAUACCCCGUAAUAUUAUAGAGUGGCAUCACUUUGUAAUUAUAGCUACGGCGUCUAAAGAUGGGUGUGCGGCUGAUUAGGUAGUUGGCGGGGUAACGGCCCACCAAGCCUUCGAUCAGUAACUGGUGUGAGAGCACGACCAGUCACACGGGCACUGAGACACGGGCCCGACUCCUACGGGAGGCAGCAGUAAGGAAUAUUGGGCAAUGGACGCAAGUCUGACCCAGCCAUGCCGCGUGGAGGAUGAAGGUCCUCUGGAUUGUAAACUUCUUUUCUCUGGGGCGAAAAACAGGUUUUCUAACUUGCUUGACAGUACCAGAGGAAUAAGCACCGGCUAACUCCGUGCCAGCAGCCGCGGUAAUACGGAGGGUGCAAGCGUUAUCCGGAUUCACUGGGUUUAAAGGGUGCGUAGGUGGGUUGGUAAGUCAGUGGUGAAAUCUCCGGGCUUAACCUGGAAACUGCCAUUGAUACUAUCAAUCUUGAAUACCUUGGAGGUGAGCGGAAUAUGUCAUGUAGCGGUGAAAUGCUUAGAUAUGACAUAGAACACCAAUUGCGAAGGCAGCUCACUACACGGUCAUUGACACUGAGGCACGAAAGCGUGGGGAUCAAACAGGAUUAGAUACCCUGGUAGUCCACGCCCUAAACGAUGGAUACUCGACAUUUGCGGUAUACUGUAAGUGUCUGAGCGAAAGCAUUAAGUAUCCCACCUG
rnacentral:rRNA from 1 species